CAGCAAUACCUACUAGUGGCUUCCUCAACAAAGACCUCUGAAGAAAAGAGGAUUCGUUUCUACAGAAAUGGCUGCGUUUGGUGAUUUUACAAAGAGCUGGGAC